rnacentral:rRNA from 1 species
UAAGGAAUAUUGGUCAAUGGACGCAAGUCUGAACCAGCCAUGCCGCGUGAAGGAUGAAGGUCCUCUGGAUUGUAAACUUCUUUUAUAUGGGAAGAAAUCCAUCUUUUCUUGGGUGGUUGACGGUACCAUAGGAAAAAGCACCGGCUAACUCCGUGCCAGCAGCCGCGGUAAUACGGAGGGUGCAAGCGUUAUCCGGAUUCACUGGGUUUAAAGGGUGCGUAGGAGGAAAGGUAAGUCAGUGGUGAAAUCUCCAAGCUUAACUUGGAAACUGCCGUUGAUACUAUCUUUCUUGAAUACCGUGGAGGUGAGCGGAAUAUGUCAUGUAGCGGUGAAAUGCUUAGAUAUGACAUAGAACACCAAUUGCGAAGGCAGCUCGCUACACGAAUAUUGACUCUGAGGCACGAAAGCGUGGGGAUCAAACA